rnacentral:lncRNA from 1 species
AAAACAGCACUUUUUUCUUUCCAGCCUUCUCUAGUAGAGAACCUCUGCAGCUGCUUAGUUGGACAGUUUGUCCUUGAUUUGAAAGGCUGCACCCUUCAUGUUACUCCUUGGGCAGUGUGUCCUUAAAAUGCCCCUAUUAGACAGGCCCACACUUGUAGUGCCUUCUACUCCAGAGGCUGAGGCAGGAGAAGAAAAGUUCAAGGCCAUCUCAGGCAAUACAGCAAGACCCCCAUCUCAAAAUAAAAAAGAGAACAGAAACUUAAAACAGUCCUUUCUAUUGGCAGGUGAAGCCUUCCUCCCCUGUUCACUCAGCUGCUGCUCAAAUGUCCUGUGGUAAUUGUCUUGAUGUUAGAAGAGCUUUGAAGUCUCCAGUGCCUCCUUCCUAUCUGCCUUACCACCUGUGGUGGUUGUUCCACUUCCUAUAAAUACUGCUAAAGAAACUUAAUUACAGUUUCACAGUGUUCCAGAACAAUUCCCAACACCCUUGUUAGGAUUUAAAUGAGUUGUCCCCCCAAAAGCUCAUGUGUGAGACAUGCGGAGGUGAAAUAACUGGGUUAUGAGAACUGAUGCAUCAAUCCAUUUAAAUGGAUUGAUGGUAACUAUAGGCAGGUGAGGUUUGGCUUCAGGAGGUAGGUCACUGGAGGCAUGCUUUGGGGGCUUAUAUUUUGUACUCCUUAAGGGAAGCUCUCUCUUUCUGCUUCCUUGUACCAAGUCCUGAGCUGCUUUCCUCCACUGCACCCUUCCACCAUAAUGUCUGCCUCACCUUGGGUCCAGAGCAAUGGAGUUGGCCAUCUAUGGACUGAGACCUCUGAAACCAUGAACCACAAAAUAAAAUUUUCCUCCUCUAAUUGUUCUUGUCUGGUCUUUUGGUCAUAGUGGUGGAAAAUGCUGACUAAAACACUCCUUCACUUGAGGAUUAUAGAAACGGGCUUGGAUCAUAUACAGACAACAUAAGAUAUUAUUAAACCAUAAUAAGUUCUUUUCACUGAAAAUUGCCAUUAAUACCUACAUCUUCUUUGCAGUAUCCCAAAUGGCAAGAGCUGACUCCUGUUGUGUUAAGAUAUGGCUGGCCAAUCGUCUUUUUAAAUGUAAAUUUCAUCUGCUGCAUUCUGCAUUUCAGGAUUUUACAUCAGGAAGUUGUGAGGUCAUAUUCCUUCCAGAAAAUGUGGUGAGUAUUUGGUGUCUUGGAAAUGGUACUAGACAUAGAAGACCCUAGCUUAAGUCUG